rnacentral:rRNA from 2 species
AACACAUGCAAGUCGAACGGUAACAGGAAGCAGCUUGCUGCUUCGCUGACGAGUGGCGGACGGGUGAGUAAUGUCUGGGAAACUGCCUGAUGGAGGGGGAUAACUACUGGAAACGGUGGCUAAUACCGCAUAACGUCGCAAGACCAAAGAGGGGGACCUUCGGGCCUCUUGCCAUCAGAUGUGCCCAGAUGGGAUUAGCUUGUUGGUGAGGUAACGGCUCACCAAGGCGACGAUCCCUAGCUGGUCUGAGAGGAUGACCAGCCACACUGGAACUGAGACACGGUCCAGACUCCUACGGGAGGCAGCAGUGGGGAAUAUUGCACAAUGGGCGCAAGCCUGAUGCAGCCAUGCCGCGUGUAUGAAGAAGGCCUUCGGGUUGUAAAGUACUUUCAGCGGGGAGGAAGGUGUUGUGGUUAAUAACCGCAGCAAUUGACGUUACCCGCAGAAGAAGCACCGGCUAACUCCGUGCCAGCAGCCGCGGUAAUACGGAGGGUGCAAGCGUUAAUCGGAAUUACUGGGCGUAAAGCGCACGCAGGCGGUCUGUCAAGUCGGAUGUGAAAUCCCCGGGCUCAACCUGGGAACUGCAUUCGAAACUGGCAGGCUUGAGUCUUGUAGAGGGGGGUAGAAUUCCAGGUGUAGCGGUGAAAUGCGUAGAGAUCUGGAGGAAUACCGGUGGCGAAGGCGGCCCCCUGGACAAAGACUGACGCUCAGGUGCGAAAGCGUGGGGAGCAAACAGGAUUAGAUACCCUGGUAGUCCACGCCGUAAACGAUGUCUACUUGGAGGUUGUGCCCUUGAGGCGUGGCUUCCGGAGCUAACGCGUUAAGUAGACCGCCUGGGGAGUACGGCCGCAAGGUUAAAACUCAAAUGAAUUGACGGGGGCCCGCACAAGCGGUGGAGCAUGUGGUUUAAUUCGAUGCAACGCGAAGAACCUUACCUGGUCUUGACAUCCACAGAAGAAUCCAGAGAUGGAUUUGUGCCUUCGGGAACUGUGAGACAGGUGCUGCAUGGCUGUCGUCAGCUCGUGUUGUGAAAUGUUGGGUUAAGUCCCGCAACGAGCGCAACCCUUAUCCUUUGUUGCCAGCGGUUAGGCCGGGAACUCAAAGGAGACUGCCAGUGAUAAACUGGAGGAAGGUGGGGAUGACGUCAAGUCAUCAUGGCCCUUACGACCAGGGCUACACACGUGCUACAAUGGCGCAUACAAAGAGAAGCGACCUCGCGAGAGCAAGCGGACCUCAUAAAGUGCGUCGUAGUCCGGAUUGGAGUCUGCAACUCGACUCCAUGAAGUCGGAAUCGCUAGUAAUCGUGGAUCAGAAUGCCACGGUGAAUACGUUCCCGGGCCUUGUACACACCGCCCGUCACACCAUGGGAGUGGGUUGCAAAAGAAGUAGGUAGCUUAACCUUCGGGAGGGCGCUUACCACUUUGUGAUUCAUGACUGGGGUGAAGUCGUAACAAGGUAACCGUAGGGGAACCUGCGGUUGGAUCACCUCCUUACCUUAAAGAAGC